UACGUAGGGUGCAGGCGUUAAUCGGAAUUACUGGGCGUAAAGCGUGCGCAGGCGGCUUCCUAAGUCAGAUGUGAAAUCCCCGGGCUCAACCUGGGAACUGCGUUUGAAACUGGGAGGCUAGAGUGCGGCAGAGGGGGGUGGAAUUCCACGUGUAGCAGUGAAAUGCGUAGAUAUGUGGAGGAACACCGAUGGCGAAGGCAGCCCCCUGGGCCAGCACUGACGCUCAUGCACGAAAGCGUGGGGAGCAAACAGG
rnacentral:rRNA from 2 species